AGUCGAGCGAACAGACCAGGAGCUUGCUCCUCUGACGUUAGCGGCGGACGGGUGAGUAACACGUGGAUAACCUACCUAUAAGACUGGGAUAACUUCGGGAAACCGGAGCUAAUACCGGAUAAUAUAUUGAACCGCAUCAAUAGUGAAAGACGGUUUUGCUGUCACUUAUAGAUGGAUCCGCGCCGCAUUAGCUAGUUGGUAAGGUAACGGCUUACCAAGGCAACGAUGCGUAGCCGACCUGAGAGGGUGAUCGGCCACACUGGAACUGAGACUCCAGACUCCUACGGGAGGCAGCAGUAGGGAAUCUUCCGCAAUGGGCGAAAGCCUGACGGAGCAACGCCGUGAGUGAUGAAGGUCUUCGGAUCGUAAAACUCUGUUAUUAGGGAAGAACAAAUGUGUAAGUAACUAUGCACGUCUUGACGGUACCUAAUCAGAAAGCCACGGCUAACUACGUGCCAGCAGCCGCGGUAAUACGUGGCAAGCGUUAUCCGGAAUUAUUGGGCGUAAAGCGCGCGUAGGCGGUUUUUUAAGUCUGAUGUGAAAGCACGGCUCAACCGUGGAGGGUCAUUGGAAACUGGAAAACUUGAGUGCAGAAGAGGAAAGUGGAAUUCCAUGUGUAGCGGUGAAAUGCGCAGAGAUAUGGAGGAACACCAGUGGCGAAGGCGACUUUCUGGUCUGUAGACGCUGAUGUGCGAAAGCGUGGGGAUCAAACAGGAUUAGAUACCCUGGUAGUCCACGCCGUAAACGAUAGUGCUAAGUGUUAGGGGGUUUCCGCCCCUUAGUGCUGCAGCUAACGCAUUAAGCACUCCGCCUGGGGAUACGACCGCAAGGUUGAAACUCAAAGGAAUUGACGGGGACCCGCACAAGCGGUGGAGCAUGUGGUUUAAUCGAAGCAACGCGAAGAACCUUACCAAAUCUUGACAUCCUCUGACCCCUCUAGAGAUAGAGUUUUCCCCUUCGGGGGACAGAGUGACAGGUGGUGCAUGGUUGUCGUCAGCUCGUGUCGUGAGAUGUUGGGUUAAGUCCGCAACGAGCGCAACCCUUAAGCUUAGUUGCCAUCAUUAAGUUGGGCACUCUAAGUUGACUGCCGGUGAAACCGGAGGAAGGUGGGGAUGACGUCAAAUCAUCAUGCCCCUUAUGAUUUGGGCUACACACGUGCUACAAUGGACAAUACAAAGGGCAGCGA
rnacentral:rRNA from 1 species